rfam:Apaloderma vittatum contig81939, whole genome shotgun sequence.
GGCCGGUUAGCUCAGUGGGUUGAGCAUGGUGCUGACAGCAAUGACAAAACUGAGGUCGCGGGUUCGAUUCCCGCUCGGUCC